rnacentral:rRNA from 1 species
GGGCCCGCACAAGCGGAGGAACAUGUGGUUUAAUUCGAUGAUACGCGAGGAACCUUACCCGGGCUUGAAAUGUACCUGAAUAACUUGGAAACAGGUUAGCUAGCAAUAGCAGGUAUGUAGGUGCUGCAUGGUUGUCGUCAGCUCGUGCCGUGAGGUGUCGGCUUAAGUGCCAUAACGAGCGCAACCCACAUCAUUAGUUACUAACAGGUUUCGCUGAGGACUCUAAUGAGACUGCCGUCGUAAGAUGCGAGGAAGGUGUGGAUGACGUCAAAUCAGCACGGCCCUUACGUCCGGGGCGACACACGUGUUACAAUGGGUGGUACAAAGGGCAGCUACUUGGCGACAAGAUGCUAAUCUCCAAAGCCACUCCCAGUUCGGAUCGGAGUCUGCAACUCGACUCCGUGAAGCUGGAUUCGCUAGUAAUCGCGCAUCAGCCAUGGCG